GGAGGGGGAGGUGGACGGAGCCGGCUGCUCUGCGCAGCCUUCGGGGCCUCUCCUGGGGGAGCCGCAGGUGCUCGCUUGCUCCUGCCUCUGGCUCAGGCGUCGGGUGCCACCGCCUGUCAUUACACCUGGACCCUCUGGGAGGAGCUGCCCUCUGUACCCACGGGAGGCAGGCCGCGUGUGGGUGGCCGGAGGGUGCACAGUGACGCGGACGGGGUGGAAAAGAUUUCCCCAGGGGGCAUUUUCCACUUGCUCCUGCCUAAGGCACCCUUCGCCCACCCCAAGUGUAUGCUUAAUGCGCCACCCGGUGGCUGUAUUGCAUUGAUGCAGUCUCUCUCACGGGGAAAUGACAUAAGGUCACAGAUGUCUGUGAAUUUCUAAAACAUUAGACUCAAGUCCCUGAGAGCGCGUGGUUGCAGAGUAACCCAGAGGUGCAGUGAGGGGAGCUUGCAGAUGAGACCUGGGGCUGAAGGAGGACCCGGCAGUGAGUUAAGCAAACCUGCAACCUGUGCCGGUUGUGACCCACUGAACUGGAGCAGGACAGGCCAGCAAAGGGCAAUUGGUGGGACGAUCAUCGGGCCUCCUGUUCGCACCCACCUUGGCCUGGCACCACCUGCUCACCUGCUCCACCAUCCUGCAGCGGUUCCACUCUCGUCGCAGCCCAUCAGGGCCAGCAGUGCCUCCACUGUUGCCCGCUGCCAGCGCUGCAUUGCCGACACCUGCGAUGUUCCAAGCCACCCCCCUGAUGGAGCCUGCUGGUCUCCCUGGCCCCUGCCUGCUGCACAGCCUGCACCUUUAAAACCUCCCGGGACCAUAGUCAAAGCCAUGGGAAUGGCCCCCAAAGCCACUCAUCAGAGUCAGAGUCUCCAGGGCGUCCCUGGCCCUUGGCAGCACCUCCCCACCCAUAUACCCUUUUGAAACCACACUGAACUCCCCAACAUCGAAGCCCCUUUCACAGGCCCAGGCCCACGUUCACACUUUUAGCUCAGCCUGGAAAGCCCUCCCCCUUGCCAUCCCCGUGCUGCCUGGCAAACUCCAGCUGCUACAGACCCCGCUCCAAUGUCACUUGCUCUAGCACAGGCUCCAGCCAACUGCCCUUUCCCUGUGUCAUCUCCCUCCUCGGCGUUCCUGCAGCUUUGUUUCCUCUCCCCUGCCCUUCCUGCGUCCUUCCUCCCUGCUGAAAUGAAAUGCCGAGUCUCUGGGCUGCCUUGCUGGGUGCUGAGGAGUCCAGGGUGAACAGGAGGCCACACAUCAGGGACAGAACUAUUAAGGUGCCGCGCGUGAGAACCUCAAGGACAGACCAGCGUCAUGAAUUCAGCCCCGCAGGCCCAGCCCAGCACAGGCCUGGCACUUUGCCGGUGCUCGGGGCACAUCUGUGAGAUGAAAGGAAUCUGUUGUGUGUCCCCCCCCGACAAGUUGUAACCCCCAGUACCUGUGGGUGUGACCUCACUUGGAACCAGGUCUUUGCAGAUGUAAUCAAGUUAAGGCGAGGUCGUCCUGGAUUGGACAGAUCUUAACCUGGUAACUGGUGUCCUCGUAAGUGGAGGGAAAUUUGGACACAGACACACAUGGAAGACACCAUGGCAGACGGAGGCAGAGAUUGGACUGAUGCGUAUAAGCCAACAAGCGACUGUGGCCACCAGAGGCGGCCCCCACUGACACCUUAAUUUGGACUUGUAGCCUCCAGAACUGUGAGAGAACGACUUUCUAGGGCUUUGAGCCACCUAGUUAGUGGGCAAUUUGUUACGGCAACCCUAGAAACGAAUACAGUGUCCAAGGCUCAUUGAUUCCUGGGUCACAUUUCUACCAGACCCCAACCCAGGGGGCGGAAGCUGCCCAAAACUCCACUGCAGGCCGCUCUCAACUUUCCCUUCCUUCCCACCGCCUGGCCUGAGCCUCCCCUUCCCUGACCAGCAGAGGACCACGCCUCCUCCGACACUAGGCGGCGCCAGCAGGCCGCGCCAUCCUGCUCCGUGGGCUCCAGCGUUGGCAAAAGGGACUGAGCAUGGAGAGUCACCCAUAGGCCGAGCUCCCAAAUCCAGGAACUGCUUUAAGAUCUCAGUGAAGUGGUUUUGUCUGUCUGAGAGAGGAAAUCGGAUUCUCUCCCCUGCAGACUGUCCUGCCUCCAAUCUCUGUUCACCCUUGGCAGCCUCAGAGCUUGAGCUGCUGGGGAAGAAGUCAGAGGCCCAUGACGGCCUCCCAGGUUCAGCCCGCACAGGCUGGCUGUGCUUUGGGCCGUCCCCCGUUCCCCUUCGGAGCGCUCUGCCCUGGAAGCCCAGCCAUUCUACUUUCACAGCAGAUGCGAUUCCCAGAAACAGGCUUUGGUGCUCCCAUUGGUCAGUGUGCUGGGCCCUCAGUCCCACACUCCUCCCUGAUUCUUUAGCUUCUUUUCAAAUUGCAAUGAAUAACUGGUACACACAGGACACUUCACACCUAAGCAAGGACAUCUGUAAGAAAGGCAUUUCUAAUUUUGGCAGGUCUUAAUACAAUUAUAUAUUAGGCUGAAAUUGCCUAUAUGUGACCUUUUUUAUUAACCUGCAAAAAAUGGCCAUUUCAUGUGAUUCAUAGUUUUGUAUGUUGGUACUUUUGUUCCUAUAGGUCUCCAGCCUAAAAAGUCCUCCGGUUCCUACUUCUCACCCACAGCUCCUUCUUCACUCACUUCCCAAGUCAUGCUGGCACUCACUGGAGCUUUUCUUUUUGUAAAAUUCUGCCUUAAGUUUUAGGCAGAAGUUUAAUCUCCUGCAUACUCACUGAGGGCAAAGACUGAGUCUUAUCUGUGGCUGUGCCCUGGACCUAGUACAAGGCUUUGUAUAAAUCCUAAAAAGAAAAACUGUGGUCUUGUUGAAUGAAUUUGCAAAUGAAUGAGUGAAGAAGCGAUUGCAGUGCGAGAAGGAGUGGUCAUCCCACAGAGAGGCUAUGGCACCAAAAGUUUCUACAUCUCCUUGGAGCAUAGAGGCUUAAGGGUCUCACGAGACCACCCAGAAGCCACAGCAGCCCCUGUGCUUAGUGUGUUUGGGUUGUGCCUUCACACACACACACACACACACACACACACACACACACACACACACAGAUGUUCAGCCCCAGCCAGCAGGCUCGACCUGCAAACAGGCCGUCUCUGCUGGGGAAGCCCACACUUGCUAAACCCUCUGUGCUGCCUGCCAAGUUGAGAAUCAUUUCCUGCCCGGGUCUCAGACAGUUCACGCUGCCCCAGAUGGUCUGCUCAGGAAAAUUCCCAUGUUGUGAAAUUUCCUUCUCUGGGGGCCCUGGGUGUCAUGGGAAAUAGGAAAUGCUGGACAGCUAUUCACCUCUUGGUGUGGGAUGGGACCGUCCCCAAGCCCUGCAAAGCCUGCAAUGCUACUCCACCAGGGAGCUUGGAGGAGGGACCAGGGCUGCCCUGGGAAUGUGCCACCUCUUGCCCCAGGUUCAGAUUAAUUCCUUGCCUCAGGAACUUAAAAUGACAUUAUAUUAUAUGUCAAAACUGUGAUCCCCCUCUAAAUUAAAUAAGCCAUGUGUUUUAUAUAUUCCACUAGGGGCCCGGUGCACGAAAUUCGUGCACUGGGUGUGUGUGUGUGGGGGGGGGUGUCCCUCAGCCCAGCCUGCCCCCUCUCACAUACUGGGAGCCCUCAGGCGUUGACC